GUGCGCAGUUCCCGUGCCCUAGGAGUUGGCGGCGGGGCCCAGCCGAGGUAUAAGUUCCACAGCUUCACCCUUGUCGGUGUGAUAUGGGCGUGAAAGAAGACAUAAAACAGGCUUCCCGAGUAGAACCUGCCACCCCGGGCUGGUGGGGACGCGGCACCAGGCCGGGCCGGGGGAAGCCGCUCGGACAGUGGUCCUUGGGUGAGCGCCUUCUUCGGGGCCCAUGGGCCAGGCCAGUGCGGCCCGGGACGCCCCGGACCACCUGGGGAAGAACCGCCCGGGCCGGCCUUUGGCUGUCCCAGGCAGCGGCUGGAGCCCGAGUGGGCCCUGGCGGGAUCUGGGACGGGGAGGGUCUGCGGCGCAGCCAGGAGGCCUGGGAAGUCCCGAGGUGGGUAGAGAAGGGCCGCGAGGGGGCGCUGAGACGGCGAGUGGCCGGGCCUGGGAGUGACAGUUGUCAGGAGAGCAGUCAGGACACCGUUGCUCAGAGUCCAGGCCGGUUAGGACCAGAGCCUACCCCGGGUGGCAUGGUGAUGAUCCAGAUUCAGGAGACAUGUCUGAGAAAGGAUCGUUCAGACUUUUUGACCUAUUUUACAUGAGGAAUAAAGGAUAGAGAAUCUUCUUCCCUUCUGGUCUGACUAGGAAAGCCAGAGGGAGAUGGUGAAGGAGACACAGAGAGAGUAAAAGAACAGACCAUGCCCAGCCUCUCCACUGCAGGAGCUUGGAAUCAGUUCCUUUCUCAGGAACCUGACCAUCAGGCCUCCCAGAAAGUAUCGAGAAACUGAAACAUCUCAGAUCAUGGCAUCUGGACAAUGAGACACACCUGCUGCCUGUUGACCAACUCCCCUUGCUUACCCCUUCGUAACUCCCCACUAUGUAAACCCUUUAUUUUAGUUAGCUUAGACUUGUCUCCCAUCUCUCAGCUGACAUCAUCUGUAAUAAAGCCUUUGAUCCCUGG
rnacentral:lncRNA from 1 species